rnacentral:rRNA from 1 species
UUAAGUGAAUAAGUGCAUACGGUGGAUGCCUAGGCGGUAAGAGGCGAUGAAGGACGUAGAAGGCUGCGAUAAGCCUCGGGGAACUGCCAACAAGUUUUGAUCCGAGGAUUUCCGAAUGGGGAAACCCACCAGUUUACUGGUAUCCCGCAAGGGAGGCGAACGAAGCGAACUGAAACAUCUAAGUAGCUUCAGGAAAAGAAAUCAACCGAGAUUCCCUAAGUAGUGGCGAGCGAACGGGGAUUAGCCCAUGAAGUGUAUAAACGGUUAGUAGAAUGAUCUGGAAAGGUCAGCGAUACAGAGUGAUAGCCUCGUAUACGAAAACCCUUAUGCAUGAUAACGAGUAGGGCGGGACACGUGAAAUCCUGUCUGAAUAUGGGGGGACCAUCCUCCAAGGCUAAAUACUCCUUACCGACCGAUAGUGAACAAGUACCGUGAGGGAAAGGCGAAAAGAACCCCGGAAGGGGAGUGAAAUAGAACCUGAAACCGUAUGCAUACAAGCAGUGGGAGCACCUUCGUGGUGUGACUGCGUACCUUUUGUAUAAUGGGUCAGCGAGUUGAUUUUAGUGGCGAGGUUAACCGAAUAGGGGAGCCGUAGGGAAACCGAGUCUUAAUAGGGCGAAUAGUCGCUAGGAUCAGACCCGAAACCACGUGAUCUAUCCAUGGCCAGGAUGAAGGUGUCGUAACAGACACUGGAGGUCCGAACCCACGCCUGUUGAAAAAGUCGGGGAUGAGCUGUGGAUAGGGGUGAAAGGCUAAUCAAACGUGGAGAUAGCUGGUUCUCUUCGAAAGCUAUUUAGGUAGCGCCUCGUAUAUAACUGUCGGGGGUAGAGCACUGUUAUGGUCUCGGGGGGCGUCAAGCUCUACCAGCCCAUUGCAAACUUCGAAUACCGACAAGUUUUAGUACGGGAGACAGACUGCGGGUGCUAACGUCCGUAGUCAAGAGGGAAACAACCCAGACCGCCAGCUAAGGUCCCAAAUUAUUGCUCAGUGGGAAAGGAUGUGGGAAGGCACAGACAGUCAGGAGGUUGGCUUAGAAGCAGCCACCCUUUAAAGAAAGCGUAAUAGCUCACUGAUCGAGUCGGCCUGCGCCGAAGAUUUAACGGGGCUAAGCAAUAAACCGAAGCUGCGGGAUGCACAAUGUGCAUCGGUAGGAGAGCGUUGUGUAAGUCUGUGAAGGUGUUCUGAGAGGAAUGCUGGAGAUAUCACAAGUGCGAAUGCUGACAUAAGUAACGAUAAACAAGGUGAAAACCCUUGUCGCCGAAAGCCCAAGGUUUCCUACGCAACGUCAAUCGGCGUAGGGUUAGUCGGCUCCUAAGGCGAGGCUGAAAAGCGUAGUCGAUGGGAAACAGGUUAAUAUUCCUGUACUUGUGUAUGUUGCGAUGGAGGGACGAAGAAGGCUAGCUAAGCCAGGUGUUGGUUAUCCUGGUUUAAGGUGGUAGGCAGAGAUCUUAGGCAAAUCCGGGAUCUUAUAUGUCGAGAGCUGAUGACGAGCCGUUAGGCGAAGUUAGUGAUGCCAAGCUUCCAAGAAAAGCUUCUAAGCAUAAACAUACAUGAACCGUACCCCAAACCGACACAGGUGGGCAGGAUGAGUAUUCCAAGGCGCUUGAGAGAACUCGGGUUAAGGAACUAGGCAAAUUGACACCGUAACUUCGGGAGAAGGUGUGCCCUGGUAGGGUGAAGUCCCUUGCGGAUGGAGCUUGAAGGGGUUGCAAAAAAUUGGCCGCUGCGACUGUUUAUUAAAAACACAGCACUCUGCAAACUCGAAAGAGGACGUAUAGGGUGUGAUGCCUGCCCGGUGCUGGAAGAUUAAAUGAUGGGGUGAGAGCUCUUGAUUGAAGUCCCAGUAAACGGCGGCCGUAACUAUAACGGUCCUAAGGUAGCGAAAUUCCUUGUCGGGUAA